AAUCCUUUAUAUCUUU
rnacentral:tRNA from 1 species